UAGGGAAUCUUCCACAAUGGGCGCAAGCCUGAUGGAGCAACGCCGCGUGAGUGAAGAAGGGUUUCGGCUCGUAAAGCUCUGUUGUUAAAGAAGAACGUGUGUGAGAGUGGAAAGUUCACACAGUGACGGUAACUUACCAGAAAGGGACGGCUAACUACGUGCCAG
rnacentral:rRNA from 1 species